GACGAACGCUGGCGGCGUGCUUAACACAUGCAAGUCGAACGGUGAAGCGCCUUCCUUUUUGGUGGGUGUGGAUGAGUGGCGAACGGGUGAGUAACACGUGAGUAACCUGCCCCCUUCUUCUGGAUAACCGCAUGAAAGUGUGGCUAAUACGGGAUAUUCUGGGUCUGUCGCAUGAUGGGUCUGGGAAAGAUAUUGUUUCGGUGGGGGAGGGGCUCGCGGCCUAUCAGCUUGUUGGUGGGGUGAUGGCCUACCAAGGCGGUGACGGGUAGCCGGCCUGAGAGGGUGGACGGUCACACUGGGACUGAGACACGGCCCAGACUCCUACGGGAGGCAGCAGUGGGGAAUAUUGCACAAUGGGCGCAAGCCUGAUGCAGCGACGCCGCGUGAGGGAUGGAGGCCUUCGGGUUGUGAACCUCUUUCGCCAGUGAAGCAGGCCUGCCUCGUUUGUGGGUGGGUUGACGGUAGCUGGAUAAGAAGCGCCGGCUAACUACGUG
rnacentral:rRNA from 1 species